rnacentral:rRNA from 1 species
CGCGUAGGCGGGAAUGCAAGUCAGAUGUGAAAUCCCAAGGCUCAACCUUGGAACUGCAUUUGAAACUGCAUUUCUUGAGGAUAGGCGGAGAAAACGGAAUUCCACGUGUAGCGGUGAAAUGCGUAGAUAUGUGGAAGAACACCCGUGGCGAAGGCGGUUUUCUAGCUUACUCCUGACGCUAAAGUGCGAAAGCAAGGGGAGCGAACA